GCUGGGUAUAUUUGUGCAUGUCUGUAAUCCUAGCUACUUGGGAAGCUGAGGCAGGAGGAUUGCAAGUUUGAGGACAGCCCUAGCAAUGUAGUCAUAUCCUGUCUCAA
rnacentral:sRNA from 1 species